rnacentral:rRNA from 1 species
UUCUGGUUGAUCCUGCCGGAGGACAUUGCUAUUGGGAUUCGAUUUAGCCAUGCUAGUCGAGCGAGUUGAGACUCGCGGCGCAUAGCUCAGUAACACGUGGCCAAGCUACCCUUCAGUCAGCGAUACCCUCGGGAAACUGAGGUUAACAGCUGAUACAAAACGCCAGCUGGAAUGCGGCGUUUCAGAAAGAGAUCGCUGAAGGAUGCGGCUGCGGCCGAUUAGGUAGACGGUGGGGUAACGGCCCACCGUGCCAGUAAUCGGUACGGGUGAUGAGAGUCAGAGCCCGGAGACGGAAUCUGAGACAAGAUUCCGGGCCCUACGGGGCGCAGCAGGCGCGAAACCUUUACACUGCACGGAAGUGCGAUAGGGGAAUCCCAAGUGCGAGGGCAUAUUAGCCCUCGCUUUUCUCGACUGUAAGGUGGUCGACGAAUAAGAGCUGGGCAAGACCGGUGCCAGCCGCCGCGGUAAUACCGGCAGCUCAAGUGAUGUCCCAUAUUAUUGGGCCUAAAGCGUCCGUAGCUGGCCGACCAAGUCUCCCGGGAAAUCCACCCGCCCAACGGGUGGGCGUCCGGUAGAAACUGGCCGGCUUGGAACCGGAAGGCUCAGAGAGUACGUCCGGGGUAGGAGUGAAAUCCCGUAAUCCCGGACGGACUACCGAUGGCGAAAG